CGAGGACGAACGCUGGCGGCGCGCCUAACACAUGCAAGUCGAACGAGCGAAGAGGAGCUUGCUUCNCUGAGCGAGUGGCGAACGGGUGAGUAACGCGUGAGGAACCUGCCUCAAAGAGGGGGGACAACAGUUGGAAACGACUGCUAAUACCGCAUAAGCCCACGGGUCGGCAUCGACCAGAGGGAAAAGGAGCAAUCCGCUUUGAGAUGGCCUCGCGUCCGAUUAGCUAGUUGGUGAGGUAAUGGCCCACCAAGGCGACGAUCGGUAGCCGGACUGAGAGGUUGAACGGCCACAUUGGGACUGAGACACGGCCCAGACUCCUACGGGAGGCAGCAGUGGGGAAUAUUGCACAAUGGGGGAAACCCUGAUGCAGCGACGCCGCGUGGAGGAAGAAGGUCUUCGGAUUGUAAACUCCUGUUGUUGAGGAAGAUAAUGACGGUACUCAACAAGGAAGUGACGGCUAACUACGUG
rnacentral:rRNA from 1 species